rnacentral:rRNA from 1 species
UGUAAGCGUAUACCAUAGUUGUUGCAGUUAAAACGCUCGUAGUCGGAAUUUGGCAGUUCCGGAAGUGUGCACGUCGUGUGCGCACUUUGCGGGGACUGCUUUUGUGGUCUUGCGUAGGAUGAGGCACUUUCAUUAGUGAACGUCCUCACGCAACCACUCCUUACUGUGAGAAAAUCAGAGUGCUCAAAGCAGGCAUUUGCCGUGAAUGUAUUAGCAUGGAAUAAUAGAAUAGGACUCGGUUCUAUUUUGUUGGUUUGUUGGGACUGAGUAAUGAUUAAGAGGGACAGUUGGGGGCAUUUGUAUUCCGGCGCUAGAGGUGAAAUUCUUAGAUUGCCGGAAGACAAACUGCUGCGAAAGCGUCUGCCAAGGAUGUUUUCAUUGA